rnacentral:lncRNA from 1 species
CCCGCCAGCGUCCCAAAAUGGCGGCGCCGGAGCCGCGCGGGGCCGCCGCUCUCUCCGCCGCCCAGGAAGGAAGGCAGGCAGAGCGGCAGCCUGAGGCGGCAGCGCCUUUAGCGAGGGCUUGUCCUUGGGGAAGGAGCCCCUCCGUGCCGGAGCAGGACGAGAGCCCCGUUAACGCUGCCAGGAAGCGACCCGGGAGGCGCCCCCAGUGAGUGCCGCUGGUCGGGCCUCCUGGGGGCUGGGAACGCCCGGCUGCCUGAGGGCUGGCUACCAAAAAGGUAGGAAAUCCUUAUCAAUCUUUGUUCUGUCUUGGGAUACCUCAGGAGGAAUUCUGCUUUCAUGUUACCAAAGACAAGAAUGGAAGUAGCCUUGUGUGUUGCUUCUCCCUACACUGCUAGAGAUAAAAAGAGCUUCAGGAAGUACAGUAGAGCAUUCACUGUCCUAUUAUCCCUGUCCUGGGCUGCAAACAUUCAACUUCUAAAGCCUUCCCAGAUAUAUCUAUAUACACACUGGAAGAAUAUAUUCUGGGAAAAUAUUAUUGCUAUCCAUACUGAUUUAUUUGAGAAUUCAAACAAAUACUUCUCACCAUAUCCAUGGUUUGCUGCUAAAUAUUUGGUACACUCCUGCCACUAAAAUGUUUCCUGUUAUGUGUUGGUAUGUCCUGUAAUUAUCUCCUGGGUUUCAUUCCUGUGAUUUUAUCUCUUUUCAUGUGAUUGUAAUUUUAGAGAACAUUUUUUCAUAAGGUGCCCGUACUAUUAACAUUACCAUUUUACUAAAUUUAUAUACAACUGUAAACAUCCAUGUUUGUUUUAAGAUGUUUUCUGUUCUUUUGGGGCAGGCAAAUAACAUACCAUUAUGUUUCUUUUCAUAAUUUCAUGAAGCCAAUAGGAUAGAGCAAGGUUUUGUAUUUGGUUUUGCAAUGACAGAAAAUUAAUUGAUGAUAGUGUCGAGCAAGAAAGAGAGGUCUACUUAUAUUUAUGGAUGAGUGAACAAUUAGUACAAGUCAUCAAAUAUUCUCCAGCACUUUCAGAAUGAAAGUGUCAUAGAAAACAUAAAAUUAAAUUGAUUUUCACAGUUAGUUCAUUGUUAGUUUCACAUACAUUAAGAAAAAAAUUAAAUACUCAAUAUAUUUUAGAAUAGCCAAACCAGAUCACAAUAUUAUUUCUAGAAAUAAAUAAUUUCUAAUAUAGAAAAAGUCA